rnacentral:rRNA from 2 species
UACAGAGGGUGCGAGCGUUAAUCGGAAUUACUGGGCGUAAAGCGCGCGUAGACGGUUUUGUAAGUCAGAUGUGAAAUCCCUGGGCUCAACCUGGGAACUGCAUUUGAGACUGCAUGGCUAGAGUAUGGAAGAGGGAAGUGGAAUUUCCGGUGUAGCGGUGAAAUGCGUAGAUAUCGGAAGGAACACCAGUGGCGAAAGCGACUUCCUGGUCCAAUACUGACGUUCAUGUGCGAAAGCGUGGGGAGCAAACAGG